rnacentral:rRNA from 1 species
AAAGCCUUCGGGUGAGUAAAGCGGCGGACGGGUGAGUAACACGUAGGAAUUUGCCCAGUAGUGGGGGAUAACGUUUCGAAAGGAACGCUAAUACCGCAUACGCCCUACGGGGGAAAGGGGGCUUCGGCUCUCGCUAUUGGAGAAGCCUGCGUCGGAUUAGCUAGUUGGUGGGGUAAAGGCCUACCAAGGCGACGAUCCGUAGCUGGUCUGAGAGGAUGAUCAGCCACAUCGGGACUGAGACACGGCCCGA